GAAAGUGUGGGGAGCGAACAGGAUUAGAUACCCUGGAAGUCCACACCGUAAACGUUGGGCGCUAGGUGUGGGACUCAUUCCACGAGUUCCGUGCCGCAGCUAACGCAUUAAGCGCCCCGCCUGGGGAGUACGGCCGCAAGGCUAAAACUCCAAAGGAAUUGACGGGGGCCCGCACAAGCGGCGGAGCAUGCGGAUUGAUUCGAUGCAACGCGAAGAACCUUACCUGGGUUUGACAUAUAGAGAAAUCCCCUAGAGAUAGGGGGUCCGUAAGGGCUCUAUACAGGUGGUGCAUGGCUGUCGUCAGCUCGUGUCGUGAGAUGUUGGGUUAAGUCCCGCAACGAGCGCAACCCUCGUCUUAUGUUGCCAGCACGUAAUGGUGGGGACUCAUAAGAGACUGCCGGGGUCAACUCGGAGGAAGGUGGGGAUGACGUCAAGUCAUCAUGCCCCUUAUGUCCAGGGCUUCACGCAUGCUACAAUGGCCGGUACAAAGGGCUGCGAAACCGCAAGGUGGAGCGAAUCCCAAAAAGCCGGUCUCAGUUCGGAUUGGGGUCUGCAACUCGACCCCAUGAAG
rnacentral:rRNA from 1 species